UACGUAGGGAGCAAGCGUUGUCCGGAAUCAUUGGGCGUAAAGCGCGCGUAGGUGGCUUCGUAAGUCCGUUGUGAAAGUCAAAGGCUCAACCUUUGAAAGCCGAUGGAUACUGCGGAGCUAGAGUACGGAAGAGGCGAGUGGAAUUCCUGGUGUAGCGGUGGAAUGCGCAGAUAUCAGGAGGAACACCAAUAGCGAAGGCAGCUCGCUGGGACGUUACUGACACUGAGGCGCGAAAGCCAGGGGAGCAAACGGG
rnacentral:rRNA from 1 species